CUAAUACAGUGCUUAAUACAGAUGGAGAUUCAAUAAAUAUUAGUUGAAUGAAUUAAUUAAUGAAUGAGCAAUGGCCUUGGAGGCAGAAACAUACCUACAUGAUGUCAAAAAUACCAGCUAGAGAAUCACUGUUCCAGUAGUUUAAAGAUAUACCCAGAUACUCCCGCCUGCAGAGCACAUGUGUUUGUCCGCUCUCAGCAAAGCCAGUAGCAAAGUGGUAAUGGCCUUGGCCCUUCAUGGCUGGGAAAGACAAGUGGAAUCCAGACCUGGGUGCAAUGCUGAUCCACAAGAAGACUGUGAGGAAUACUGCAGCUUAGGAAGGUUAAGACUAACUUCCAGGACUGCCUCUGUGUUUUUUCCUGCCUGUGGCUCCAGCCCGACAGCUUUACAAUGAUUAAAAGCCUGACUCCUGCUGUCACCAAACCAAGCGUUUCAGACUUAAAGCCAUGAGAACCCAAUCCUUUCGCCUUUCAGCAAGCAUUUAUUGAGACCGAGGAGACACUAGAGAUUCAAAGGUCUUUGCAGCUGUAAUUGAGUUAAGAAUCUUGAGAUGAGAUCAUCCAAGUGGGCUUUAAAUCCAAUGACAAGUAUCCUUGUAAGACAGAAAGAGAAGACAAAGAGGAAAAACUGUGUGAAGACGGAGGCACCAACUGAAGUUACACACAUAGCCACAAGCUAAAGAAUGCCUGGAGUCACCAGAGACUGCACAAGGCAAGGAAGUAUUUAUUCCCUGCUAGAGGCUUCAAAAGUGUGGUCUUCCGACACCUUGGUUUCAAACUUGCAGCCUGAAAUAGUGUCAGAAUAGCUUUCUAUUGUUUUAAGCCACCAGGUUGGUGAUAGUUUGCUGUAGCAUCCCUAGAAAGCUAAUGUAUUUUCUUUUAAUAGCCUAUGCCUAACAGUUAUUUUUCAGAGAGUUACUUUAUAAGUGCUUGUCAUAGUAUAUAAUGUAAAUCAACUUGGACAAGGUAAUUUAAUCCCUCAGAGUCAGUUUUUUUUUUUUAACCUAAUCUCAUUUUCACAGGAUGUUGAGAUAAUAAAAUAAAUAAAACUAUGUAGCAGACAACUGGUAAAGGACAGUUACUCCAAGAUUUAUCCAUUUGAGAUCAGGACCCAAAGCAUACUACAGAUGCCCUGUUGAAGCAAGGCCUCCCAGCAGAGAGCUGGGGUAAUUAACGUGCAAAGCCCUGAGUCUGUGUCAGAAUCUCUUUUGCAUGUAACCGCUUACACCAUCUGCUGUCAGCCCUUGUUUCUCACCAGCUAACCACUGCCCUCUCCCCCAACCUCCUCUACUUCCUGUUUACGUAGAUAGCUGCUUCCUGGCCAAGGGAACUGAACCGUUUCAGUCAGACUACUUUUCCCCUGGACCUAUGCCAGGAAUAUCUUCUUUGCUCUCUCCUUCUGCUUUUUUCUUACAGUAGAAGCCAUCACAUUCAUGAGCAGCAAACUGCAUCCCAGAGCGAUUCCUAGCUAUACAGCUAAUCCUCUUCCUGGCUAUUGGACUGAAUAUAAGGAAUAAUAUAUCAGGCAUUAUAAUAUAUCAGGCAUUAUGUGAGGAAAUUUGUCCAUCCCUGCUUGCCUCAGCACCUCCAAACUAUUGAUACUAAUGCUUUUUUAAUUCAAAUGUACUGGCUAGGAUGCUUCUAUCCUCAGCCCUAGCCCUGUCCUGUUUGGAAAACUGCUCUGAUCAGUUAGCAGAACAGCAGUAGGUUAAACUCAGCCAGGACACCAAGUUGGGAAAGUUGUUGAAAUGAUCCAAUUCAUGAGUCCUAACAUGAGCAAAUAUCCAAAUAAUCAGAGGAGCUCUUUCAAACAAAUAAACAUUUGGAACUUGCGUGCCUUUGGGAAAAAAAUCAUAGAUGAUAAAGAUGUUUUAAAACCAUAACUUACACUUACUGUCCUUAGCACAAUAGAUAAGAAUGUGGACUCUGAAGCCUGUGAGGAUGGCCUGAAUGGCUUUGGGCAUGUUACUUAACUUCUCUAUUUCUCAAUUUCCUCAUCAGUAAAACAGUGGAGAUAAUACUACCUGCUCCGUAGAAUUGUGAGGAGUGAGUUAAUAUCACUAAAAAGCACUUAGAAGUAUAGCCUAUUAUUACUAUUACUUUUAUUGUUGUUUUUAUUAUUCUGCUGGAGACAAAGUUGUUCAGAAGGUGGGAUGCCUGAAUUAGCAAUGUGAAGACAACAUAGGUAGAAGUGGUGGCAGGUUUUAUGUAUGAAAAUGGAAGUGGGUAACAGGGAUGGAAUAGAGGAAAGACCAUGAUUAGAAGGAGAAAAUUUAUAGUGUUGAAUCAUGUGCUCUGGGACUAGAGCACUGGAAUUUAGAUCAUGCGUUUACUACGUUAUGGUGGCCCAGCUGUGAGCCAAUUACUUGUGUCUUCAUGUGUAAAACAGAAAUUAUAAUAGUGACUUAUCUUA